GUUACCUUCUAAAGAGGGGAGGGUCCUAGCUGACAGCGGUCCAGCUGCUCCCACAGCUUGAGAGACUGCCUUGCUGCAGGGACACAUCAGGCCACAAAGCAGCUGCAUCUCGAAAAGGACUGGUGCACUCGUUGAAAACAAACCCAAACCCAGCAAACUGUCCUCACGGUGAUGGUUCAUAGCCACUCAGACCCAAAGAAAGAGAAAGGAAGAAAGAAAGAAGAAAGAAAGAAAGAAAGAAAGAAAGAAAGAAAGAAAGAAGUAAAUCCCAGGAGGCCGUGUCACCGCUACCUCACAGCUCCACACACCAUUCCCGUCCCAGUCUCGGUGGCCGACAGCCCUGGCAGCCGUGCUCUGCGUGACUGUCUGGCUGGACGGGCCUGCCUGAGCCUUCAUGCUCUAAAUUGCUUGGUAAGAUUCAAGAAGGAAGAAGGGAAGGGCAUGAUGGGAAUGAGAAGACGUGUUUUCUUCUGGAAGGACCUCGGGGAGGCCAUGUGGAUGGAAACGUGCUGUCAAGAGGUGGUCAAGCACAGGGUCUGGAGGGAGACUACCCACAUCUGAUGGCCCACCAGUGCCUAUCUUUGAGAUUCUGGUUCACCAAUUCACUCCCUGGGCCCGUGCACGUAUGUGUGCAUGUAUAUGUACAUGAUGAUGCACACACAAUCCCCAACCAUGAAAGAGGAGCAGUGAUAGUGCUCAUCUCCUGGUGUUACAGUGAAGAGUCAGUGAGACAGUGCAUGGCUAGUACGGCAGGCUUCCUGACACAUAACUCACACUGAUUAAAAUGACAGCUGUCUUGGGCACCUGUGUGGCUCAGGUGGUUAAGUGGCUGCCUUUGGCUCAGGUCGUGGUCCCGGGAUCGAGCCCCUCGACUCCCUGCUCAGCAAGAGUCUGCUUCUCCCUCUCCCUCUGCCUGCUGCUCCCCCCACAUGUGCUCUCUCUCUCUCUCUCUCUCUCUCUCUAUGUGUGCCAAAUAAACAAAUAAAAUCUAAAAAAAAAAAAUAAAAA
rnacentral:lncRNA from 1 species